UAGGGAAUAUUGGACAAUGGGGGAAACCCUGAUCCAGCAACGCCGCGUGGAUGAUGAAGCUUUUUGGAGUGUAAAAUCCUGUCAGUGGGGACGAAACGUCCGGGUAGGAAAUGACCCGGGCCUGACUGUACCCGCAGAGGAAGUUCCGGCCAACUCCGUGCCAGCAGCCGCGGUAAUACGGGGGGAACGAGCGUUGUUCGGAUUUACUGGGCGUAAAGGGCACGCAGGCGGGGAGACAAGUCAGAUGUGA
rnacentral:rRNA from 1 species